AAUGAACGCUGGCGGCGUGCCUAACACAUGCAAGUCGAACGAGAAACUCCGGGCUUGCUCGGAGGAGUAAAGUGGCGCACGGGUGAGUAACGCGUGGGUAACCUGCCCCAGAAUCUGGGAUAACAUCGCGAAAGCGUUGCUAAUACCGGAUAUCGUCCCAUAAACUGUGGUUUUUGGGAUGAAAGAUGACCUCUCCGUGGAAGUUGUCGUUCAGGGAGGGGCCCGCGUACCAUUAGCUUGUUGGUAGGGUAAUGGCCUACCAAGGCUACGAUGGUUAGCUGGUCUGAGAGGAUGAUCAGCCACACUGGAACUGAAACACGGUCCAGACUCCUACGGGAGGCAGCAGUGAGGAAUUUUGCGCAAUGGGGGAAACCCUGACGCAGCAACGCCGUGUGAGUGAAGAAGGCCUUCGGGUCGUAAAGCUCUGUCAAGGGGGAAAAACUCCUUUCGAUCAAUAGUCAUUAAGGACUGAUGGUACCCCUAGAGGAAGCACCGGCUAACUCCGUG
rnacentral:rRNA from 1 species